UUUGCAUGAUUCUCAUUGGUGGUUUGCACC
rnacentral:piRNA from 1 species